UUACUCCAACACGGUUUGAAUACAUAACCCACGCUCCUUUAAAUUCAGAUCAGAGCUUAGGUGCUGCCGCAGCUGCAAAAUGCAGCAACACUGACGGCGACCUGCAGCCUUAAAAUUCCCGUGGAUGCUGUCCACUAAAUAUUUGGGGUGGACGCAGCUGAAGCAGAACCUGCAAGAACCAGUUUGGCGUUUGGCGCAAUGAGGGUCUUUCCAUUGGCUGGUCCUAAAUUUUCGUUCGGCACGCCCGCGCGGACACCUGGCCCAGACGAGACACCGCCCUGGAGCGAUGCUAACCGCUUCCUUGCCAGCGCGCUGCUCGCAACGACAAGACGUGCGUUUAGUUUAGCUCUGUAACUCAUUCUCAGAGCAAGCGAGAGACCGGGAGAAACUUGAACUCGCCGAACUAGCGUUUGUCAUGCAAGCCCCCACAAGCUCCUUGCCAGGCCGCGCGUUUUCAGCGCACAUGCUUUAGGGCCGGCCGGGUUUCCUUAGGGCCGUUCGGGUCCGCAGCUGAAUAGGCAUAUAUUUGGUACGUUGACCAGUGCAGUCCACGGCGCUUGGAAGCGACAGAGACCUGCUAUGCAAAAUCGGCGAGUGCCAUUUCCGCGUCGAUGUCCUUCCAAGGAACUCCUGAUGAGUACCUUGGAACUCAUAUGAAUGACGAGGCUCGCUUGAGGCAGCUUCGCGUACAGCAUGGCCAUGUCAACCUCGUGUCGGGUCAACACGCCUCGCGUUUGCCGGAGUACCACCAGUUGCAUCAUUCACCAGUUGCAUCAUCGUGGGCUAACGUAGCUUCAAAGUGAGCAAUGGCGUACAAUCCGUAUGUCCGAUAAAAGUUGUGUACAGUGGGCCCAAUGGGUAAUGAAAUUAAGGAAAUUUCUUAACUUUCCAUAUAAACUAUGGAUAUUUACUAACCGCUGGCCAAUGGAAAGACCCUCAAUGACGCCAGAUGAGAGGCAGCAUAUGUGCGCUGUUGUCACAGAGGCUGGCUUAGACUCCGCUGAUUUAGAUGAAGAGGACUUGCAGUUACUGUGGACAGCUAAGUUCCGCACCGCUGCGCGCCUGCGUGCAGCUAGACGGGAAGAUCUCCUUGAUGCGCACCUGGCGCCUGGCGUGGUGGUCGGCAUUCUGCAGGCCUUAGGUACAUUCUAAGCGUGGUUCCUGUGCCACCAACUGGGUCAUCCUUUGCCGAGGAGCCUGUGUUGCAUAGACUCCAGCUCNNNNNNNNNNNNNNNNNNNNNNNNNNNNNNNNNNNNNNNNNNNNNNNNNNAGACCAUGGUAGAGCAGCAGGGCCAGGAGCUUGGAUUCCCUGGCGUGUGGUGGCAAGGGGAAAGUGGCACUGAGUUUGAAGUUUCAGAUUAAUACGGGUGAGAGACAUGCUGGCUAUGUGAACAUGAUUGGAGAGGGUGUCAUUGCCUGGCAUAUUGCAGUGCACAGAAGGGGCCCGUGAGCCGCCUGAUAACCUCACGAGUAGCUUCUAUGUAUGUGUCAUCCUGAGGGUGAUGGGUGGUGGUGGUCGGUUUACAGAAAUAAGUGGACUAGCAUGCAGCACAGUUCUACUUUGCAUUGUGAUGAAGGCCCUCAGUGCACCAUUACUUCCUAUAACCCAAACCCUAUCACAGCCUCUAUUUCGUACAUUGUUCAUGCACCCUUCAAGUUUCUGAGGAUGGUGAGGGGGAAGGGGACAGAGGACUGUCACACAGGCCCCUCCUUAAGGUCAUGAAACACACCUCCUCUCUGGCACCCCUUCCCCCCUUUCCUUCCCGCUGCUGCUGCUGCUGCUGUUGAGAUUCCGCCGAUAUCCGGCUCUCCUCACCUGGAGUUGGGCUCUCAACUGUAUGACUCCGAAUGGCUCGCAUGGACGCUGCUAUCUGGAUGCAGGUCUUCUUGACCCUGCUCCUCUGCCCUACCCGCACCCGCACCCCACACCUCGGACCCCCGUGACGUGUAGGCGGUUGAACCCCCUUGUUGCCCUUGCCUCAUCAUCAUCAUCAUCACCAUCAUCACCGUCAUCAGCAUCACCAGCAUCACCAGCUUCACCAGCAUCAGCAUCACCAUCACCAGCAUCAUCACCAGCAUCAUUACCAUUACCAUUACCAGCAGCAGCAGCAUCACUAUCACCAGCAUCACCAGCAUCACCAGCAUCACCACCACCAGCAUCACUAUCACCAGCAUCACCAUCACCAGCAUCACCAUCACCAGCAUCACCAUCACCAGCAUCACCAUCACCAGCAUCAUCACCAGCAUCAUUACCAUUACCAUCACCAGCAUCAUCACCAUCACCAGCAUCAUCAUCAUUACCAUCACCAUCAUCACCAUUCAUCGUCACCAGCAUCGUCGUCGUCAUUGUCCUGUGACGACCUCCCACCCCCCACCCUCCUCAGACUGGCACUUGAGGUCCAGUCCUGGUAUCGGCAGCAGCUGGAGGCCCGACCCGUCAGGUUCAUGGAGAUAGUGGCAAUGAAGGGUAGGGCCGCGUGUGUAUGUAUGUAUGACUUAGAUUACACUGUGGGCUGCGAGAGCCGCGGGCCAAAGCCGAAACACAACGCAAGGGUCAGGAGCACACAGCACAAGUCGGUUAGUCUUGUGUGCUCCCGACACCAACUCAGACUGCCAACACUCUACACAGCCACUCCGCAGCCCCUCCAUCCAGGGAUGGCGCUGCAGUGAAAACACCACGAAGGGCUCUCAGGUCCCGCUAGAGUGAGUCCACAAGUCUCAGCUAGGGCAAAGUCAAAGGCUCUCUGAAACAACCCCCCAAAACACCACCAAUGAAAACGGAAAAUAAAAAUAUGGUUAGGGCAGUCCCGGCAGGGGAGGGCUGCUGAUACACCUAACAUGCCAAUAAAAACCCUCCAAGAGAGAAAGGCUAAGAGAGCUCGACACCACAAGAUGUCUUGCAGCCACCUUACAACAACUGACCUCCUCUACCUGUCCCUUCCUGGGCUGGUCCAGUGGAGAAGUAGCCAUAUAAAGAAAAGGGACCACACACAAGCCCAAUCACCACUGCAGGAGCCCGGGAUAGACCAGCAGAACCACAAAAGCGAUGUAUGUAUGUAUGUAUGUAUGUAUGUAUGUAUGUAUGUAUGUGGCGUAUUGAUGUGUGUCCAUGUUUGCAGGUUCACGCUUAAGUGCUGCUUGGUGACUUCUCAAGUGCCACCUCAUGAAUCCACAACAUGGACGAGCUGCUCUACACGCUUCAAGCGUGCUGAUGAACUCCACGAGGCCUUAGGAAGGGGCUUAUGUGUCUUGAACGAAGAACUUGAAUGAGUAAUCAUUUUUAUACUGUGGUGGUGCUGGUGGUGAUUCCGAGAGGACACGGAUGAAUUGUCAGAACGAGACUUGGGCUGCCGCCACGACUAUUUUUUUCGCAAAACCCGACUUUGGUCCGAAUUGCAGCCCAAGGCAGCGGGCGCGUGUUUUGCACGUGAGCGGCCGGUAGCCCCUCCUCAAGCACGCGCAUGGUGACCAGGUCAUAUGCGCUGAGAGCAUAGACCUGCCUUCUAACCUGCCCAUCGGGAUGAAAAAACAACAGCUCACACUUUCGCGCGUUGACAGUAAGACCGACAGCCUCCGUUGUGGGGACAGACGUUUUGCUGACCAGUACGGCCCGUACAACAUGUAACAUCUUGAUGUUGUCUUGUUUUGUCUUUUGCAAAAUAUCUUCCAGGUACUCCGUGUGACUUACUCCAACACGGUUUGAAUACAUAACCCACGCUCCUUUAAAUUCAGAUCAGAGCUUAGGAGCUGCCGCAGCUGCAAAAUGCAGCAACACUGACGGCGACCUGCAGCCUUAAAAUUCCCGUGGAUGCUGUCCACUAAAUGUUUGGGGUGGACGCAGCUGAAGCAGAACCUGCAAGAACCAGUUUGGCGUUUGGCGCAAUGAGGGUCUUUCCAUUGGCUGGUCCUAAAUUUUCGUUCGGCACGCCCACGCGGACACCUGGCCCAGACGAGACACCGCCCUGGAGCGAUGCUAACCGCUUCCUUGCCAGCGCGCUGCUCGCAACGACAAGACGUGCGUUUAGUUUAGCUCUGUAACUCAUUCUCAGAGCAAGCGAGAGACCGGGAGAAACUUGAACUCGCCGAACU
rnacentral:lncRNA from 1 species